rnacentral:rRNA from 1 species
GACAGGGGGUGCAAACGUUGUUCGGAAUUACUGGGCGUAAAGCGCGUGUAGGCUGCUCGGAAAGUCGGAUGUGAAAGCCCUGGGCUCAACCUAGGAAGUGCAUUCGAAACUCCCGAGCUGGAGUCCUGGAGAGGAAGGCGGAAUUCUCGGUGUAGAGGUGAAAUUCGUAGAUAUCGAGAGGAACACCGGUGGCGAAGGCGGCCUUCUGGACAGUGACUGACGCUGAGACGCGAAAGCGUGGGGAGCGAACGGG